rnacentral:rRNA from 1 species
AGCGGCGGACGGGUGAGUAACGCGUGGGUAACCUGCCCUAAAGUAGGGGAUAACAUUCCGAAAGGGAUGCUAAUACCGUAUAAUAUCCUCUUUACGCAUGUUAAGAGGAAGAAAGGACUUCGGUCCGCUUUAGGAUGGGCCCGCGUCCCAUUAGCUAGUUGGUAGGGUAACGGCCUACCAAGGCGACGAUGGGUAGCCGGCCUGAGAGGGCGACCGGCCACACUGGGACUGAGACACGGCCCAGACUCC